AAAUGUAGAUGGGUUAUAGUAAAAAAUAGGAUGAGUAAAUGAAUGAUGGUCUUUGGAUGAAAAGGGUGUGUGUACCAGUAGCAUUGUUUACUAUCAAAUUUCAUAAUCUAAUUUAGUUGACUAAAUAUUAACAAAUUGUUAAUAUACAAGUGAUUUAGAAGUGUUAUCACUGGUUAUGUGACAAUAAUUAAGAUGUUAUAUUCUUUUUUUAAUCAGCGAUACGUCUAUAUUUAGUCGAUUACAUUUAAUUGUGGAACUUGAUUAUAACAAUUUGAAAGAUCAAGCUAAAACUUGUAACAAAUUAAAGAUUGAGGACCAAAGUAUCACUAGCCUCAUAGUUUGAGGAUCAAACAUACAAUUU
rnacentral:lncRNA from 1 species